GCUGGUAAACCUUUAAAUGAAGAUCCAUUGGAUCUUCAAGAUUGCCAUCUUGUUUCUUUUGGUGGAAAUGACAAUCAACAGACUCAAAAUCGUGAGCAGCAACAACAAAAUUUUGGUGGUUCUGGGCAGCAACAGCCUUCUCCAAGAGAAGAGAUCCACGAACAGGAACUGAAUCACCACCAAGUUCUGGACGUGAUUGAAGAGCAG